UUUUCAAACCUCCCAGUGUGAGAUAGAGCUGGGUAAAGGAAUGAAGAUUUGGUUAAAAAAAAAUUGGGCCAAGCAAAUUUAAUAAGCAGAGAAAUGUAUGUUAAGGUUUUUGAAAGAAGUCAUUUGUAAGAAAGGUGUCAAGAUGCAGGCAGACAAGGCUUUUGCAAUAUUUCUUGGAGUUCAUACAGAAAGUUAGUUCAUUGUUCCCUGAAAAGGGGUAUUGAGCCAUGAUACAUGGCAUAAGAUUGGUAAACAUUUGCAAGCAAGUGGGUACAGAUACAUGAAGGUGAAGAAACCCUGAGCUCACUCUCUUCUUGUGGGACACGAUUAAGUAAACCUGUUUUUUUUUUUAAGAUUUAUUAUUUUAUGUAUAUUGGCACACUAGCUGUGUAGCCUUCAUGUGAAGGUUGUGAGUCUUCGUGUGGUUGUUGGGAAUUGAAUUUUAGAACCUCUACUCUCUCUGGUUGGUCCUGCUCACUCAGGCCCAAAGAUUUAUUUAUUAUACAUAAGUACACUGUAGCUGACUUCAGACGCACCAGAAGAGGGCAUCAGCUCUCAUUACAGGUGGUUGGUUGUGAGCCACCAUGUAGCUGCUAUAGCUGCUGUGAAUUGAGCUCAGGACCUUCAGAAGAGCAGUCAGUGCUCUUACCCUCUGAGCCAUCUUGGCUGUCCGUACGCAAACCUUAAAGGCAGAAACAGUUGAUGAUCUGCCUCAUUCUAGCUCGGCUUUGGUAAACUCAACGUGCUCCAAUUUGAUUAGUUUGGUGGAAAUCACGCCUUUGUUAAGGUUACCAACAUCAGCCCUGCCCAGUCUGACCGAAGGCAUUACAGGCAAAUCUUGCUGUUCCUGAAAAUGAAACUAAAUGGGAAGAAAAGCCACCCUGUCCUGGUGGUGCUUGCAAUUUGGAAGAGGUGGCAGGUAUAUUGUUGAGACAAUUAGGUUAUGAAAAUACCAAUAAAACCUGCAGAGAUCUGCUUGGGCCUGCAAGACAUUCUGGAAAUAUUAGAGGUUUUGUCUGCCUCUGUGCUGCUGACUUUACACCCUCUAUGGUGCAAGGGCCUGCAAUGGUGGCAGCUUUCCAGGGUUUUUUUCCCCAUUUCAAAAUGGGGGCCCAUCGUUGACUUUGAGCUAUUCUUUGGCUGCUCUCAAACACCCCUUCUCUCAGAAACCCCUCUCCAAGCUGAAACUGGUCCUUUGCAGGCCUUGAACUCAUAGAGUGAGGGCUCUGACUCCUGAGUGCUGAAGUUGAAGGUGUGCACCACCACCUCCCAGCCAAAGUAAUUUCUCU
rnacentral:lncRNA from 1 species